CCUCCAAGAUUGGAUCUAACCCGAGUUGGAUCAAUAAAUUCUCUACUCUAACCUUCUACAUCGAGAAGCUUCUCUUUCCAUCAAACUUCUCAAACUCUACCUUUAACUUGCUACUCAUGGUCGGCACCAACCACAAUCACAACACAGAUAUAUCAAAUUUGAGAAGGUAUAUCUUAGAAGAGGGUGUGCUGAUUUUUCUUUUGAUGGAGAAUAUUCUUUCUUCUUCCUCCCCAC
rnacentral:lncRNA from 1 species